GGGGCAUUAGCUCAGUUGGUAGAGCACCUGCUUUGCAAGCAGGGGGUCAGGAGUUCGAAUCUCCUCAGCUCCACCA
rnacentral:tRNA from 1 species